rnacentral:rRNA from 1 species
AUACAGAGGGUGCGAGCGUUAAUCGGAAUUACUGGGCGUAAAGCGCGCGUAGGCGGUCUAUUAAGUCAGAUGUGAAAUCCCGGGGCUCAACCUUGGAACUGCAUCUGAUACUGGUAGACUAGAGUUUUGGAGAGGGAAGUAGAAUUUCAGGUGUAGCGGUGAAAUGCAUAGAGAUCUGAAGGAAUACCAGUGGCGAAGGCGACUUCCUGGCCAAAAACUGACGCUGAGGUGCGAAAGCGUGGGUAGCAAACGGGAUUAGAAACCCUAGUAGUCC